UGCGUAGGUGGUUUGUUAAGUUAGUUGUGAAAUUCCUGGGCUUAACCUGGGCUGGACGACUAAUACUGAUGAACUGGAGUAUAGGAGAGGGUAGUGGAAUUUCCGGUGUAGCGGUGAAAUGCGUAGAGAUCGGAAGGAACACCAGUGGCGAAGGCGGCUACCUGGCCAGAUACUGACACUGAAGCACGAAAGCGUGGGGAGCAAACA
rnacentral:rRNA from 1 species